GAUGAACGCUGGCGGCGUGCCUAAUACAUGCAAGUCGAGCGAAUGGACGAGAAGCUUGCUUCUCUGAUGUUAGCGGCGGACGGGUGAGUAACACGUGGAUAACCUACUUAUAAGACUGGGAUAACUUCGGGAAACCGGAGCUAAUACCGGAUAAUAUUUUGAACCGCAUGGUUCAAAAGUGAAAGACGGUCUUGCUGUCACUUAUAGAUGGAUCCGCGCUGCAUUAGCUAGUUGGUAAGGUAACGGCUUACCAAGGCAACGAUGCAUAGCCGACCUGAGAGGGUGAUCGGCCACACUGGAACUGAGACACGGUCCAGACUCCUACGGGAGGCAGCAGUAGGGAAUCUUCCGCAAUGGGCGAAAGCCUGACGGAGCAACGCCGCGUGAGUGAUGAAGGUCUUCGGAUCGUAAAACUCUGUUAUUAGGGAAGAACAUAUGUGUAAGUAACUGUGCACAUCUUGACGGUACCUAAUCAGAAAGCCACGGCUAACUACGUG
rnacentral:rRNA from 1 species